rnacentral:rRNA from 1 species
CCUACGGGACGCAGCAGUGGGGAAUAUUGCACAAUGGGGGAAACCCUGAUGCAGCGACGCCGCGUGAGUGAAUGAGUAAUUCGUUACGUAAAGCUCUAUCAGCAGGGAAGAAACACUGACCUUACGGUCAGCAGACGGUACCUUAGUAAGAAGCCCCGGCUAACUACGUGCCAGCAGCCGCGGUAAUACGUAGGUAGCAAGCGUUAUCCGGAUUUACUGGGUGUAAAGUGAGCGUAGACGGUGCGCCAAGUCUGGCGU